CCCUACCUGAUCCGAGGUCAAGUCAUAAAAG
rnacentral:rRNA from 1 species